AGAAUGAACGCUAGCGAUAUGCUUAACACAUGCAAGUUGAACGUUGUUUUCGAAUCAGAAUGAGAACAAAGUAGCGAACGGGUGCGUAACACGUGGGAAUCUGCCGAACAGUUUGGGCCAAAUCCCGAAUGAAUAAAAGCUAAAAAGCGCUGUUUGAUGAGCCCACGUAGUAUUAGGUAGUUGGUUAGGUAAAAGCUGACCAAGCCUACGAUGCUUAGCUGGUCUUUUCGGAUGAUCAGCCACACUGGGACUGAGACACGGCCCAGACUCCUACGGGAGGCAGCAGUGGGGAAUCUUGGACAAUGGGCGAAAGCCUGAUCCGGCAAUAUGGCGUGAGUGAAGAAGGGCAACGCAGCUUGUAAAGCUCUUUCAUCGAGUGUGCGAUUGUGACAAGACUCGAAUAAGAAGCCCCGGCUAACCUCCGCGCCAGCAGCCCGC
rnacentral:rRNA from 1 species